CAGCCAAGGCAGUAGCGGCGAACUAAUUUAUUAGACUGGAUGCUCGGCUGCACUGACUGUCGGUAGCUCCAGUUCGAUUUUUCUUGAAGGGGCGAUGCUGCCGUUCGCUCCUCAGGACGAGCCGUGGAACCAAGAAAUGGAGGUGUGUAGAGGCAGCACAAACAGUUGCGAGCUUUUGUCCACUGUACCGUGAAAAUUUAGAUCUUCACAGGAACUUUGUUGUUGUUACGAAUGUUGGACAGCAUUUAAACACAAAAGCAUAUCUAUUGUGUUAGAGUUUGGGAUCCUUUUAUGGCAACCUAACAGCAUACUACUCCAGCAGACACCAGCAUAUGACUUCUAAAAAUAUUUGAUGAAUUCUGCCAAAUUGAUUCACAGUAGGAUAUUUUGAGGUAAGACGCCCACUCCUUACCAUCUCAAGGGUGCAACUUUGUGUUCAAGUACUUGCUCUAUCGUUAAAACUGCACUUUAAAAUGUUGUAUGACUAUCUUGUUCUUUUUUGAAAAUUUGCAACUAAACUGGGGUUAGACUAAUAUUGGAAUAGCAUGCAAGAAGAAAUGUAAUAGAAAUAAAUUCAGAAGUAUCCUGCAGUUGAAUCCUCUAUACUUACAGGAAAAUUAUAGGGAAUAUUUUAUUAGUAAACUGAGCAGUUCCCAAAUACUUUUUAAUAUUUUAUAUCUCUUAAGAAUAGGAACAAUGAAGACGGAUUAAUUUUUUGAAAUGUGUGAAUACCAACUUCUUGCAUGAAUUUCUUAGCAAGAUUGGUCAAGGGAAGAGGGAG
rnacentral:lncRNA from 1 species